GGCUACAAUCCAUGGUGUCGCACCGAGUCAGACACGACUGAGGACAUUCACUUUACUUUCAAAAGGCAUGAGGAAUCUGCUUGAAUGUAAUACAAAAUAAGACAGUUCUCCAUGGAAAAGAACCAGAAGCAAUGAAUAGAAGUUACCCAAAACUUCCUAACGAUGGCAUAGAACACCUCGCACAGGAGGUGAAGCAUCUCAGCCUCCUAGGACCUUCUCCCUGUCUCAACACCCAAGAGAUGAGUAGGAGAGGUGAGAUUUACAUAAGUAGCGAUGGUGAAUCUGCAUGCACCAAGAAAACAUGUAUCAAGCAGUAUGCUAUCAGCCUCACUCCCAAUUGGCAUUAUCAAAGAAGACUUCAGAAAGGUACAGCCAGCCUUUGAAGGAGGGAUUGGACUUAACAUCUGUAGAUAAACAAGAAAGGAUCCCAGGCAGAUGAGCACAAUAGCAAAGGCAGAGACAAGAGUGCAGGGCUUGCCUGGGAGUCGCUGAGUCUGACUUUAGGAGGGCAUCGGGUCUCAACAUCAGUGAGCACUGUUAUAUGUGCAGAUUCCUGGGCUCUACUCCUGAUUCUGUAGGUGUGGGGUUUAACAAGCAUUCCAGAUAACAUUAAGGCAACUGGUUCCCUGGGACUUCCCUGGUGGUCCAGUGGCUAAGACUCUGCGCUCCCAAUACAGGGGGCCUGGGUUCCAUCUCUAG